UCUAGCCCCUUCACAUUAGUCUUCUUAACAUUUUCUCUUUCUAAAAAAACCCUGGCGAUACUGUGAUAGAGAGAAAGAGUAGGAAAAAAAAAAAAAAAACUUGCGCCACACUGGAGAUUCGUUUGGCCGACCAUCGCUAUUCCCUUUUGAGUUUUCUAGACUCUGCGAAUCAAUGAAUAUUCGUACGGCCGGCCACCGCCAUACCCCGCCGGACUUAAACCAUCACAAUCGGUAUCCGUCAAAGCUAAAUACGAUCAAACGUCCCAGAGGUUUUGAGAUAUGGAGUUAGAUCGGCGCUAUUCCGACGAAAGGUACAACACGGGUAUUUUGCAAGAAGAGUUGCUGCAUCAAACUAAGUGGUUUGCUUAGCCUGAUUUUCCCUCUAUUUAUCUCAUAACUUGAAUUAAAUUUUCUCUGUUGAUCUGUUUGGUUUUGAUUAGGCUCUGAAUUGCAUAUUUUAAUCUGCUUUUUCCUUCAUUUUUUUUUAAAUUCAAUGAAUUCUUAUUUUGUAUUUUACUGGAUUGUAAAACUGUAAUGACUUUUUUAAAAUGCUAUGCUUUUAGUGGCUUGCAUUUGGUAACUCCACCAUAUUCACAUAGUGGCCUGCAUUUGAUGCUUUCUUCUUGAUUUAUUAUAAUCCAACUUCUUUGUGAGUGGCGUCAUGGGGUUUAGCCCUUGAAUAUAUUUAGGGAAAAACAUGUUUGCCAUUUAAUAAUGGUUGAUUUCUCAAUGUUGCUGCUCUGAGCAUUUAUUAUUUGAAACUACAAAGUCUAAAACCUCUUUAAUGUUUGUGCUAAAAAGUUAUGUUUUCUGUUUGAUUGUAUAUUUGUUUAAAGGAAUGUAUAAUUAUUUUAAAGAAUGAAUGAAUUUUUAUUGGCAGUAAAUUAUGUUUCUUUUUCGUUUAUUGAAUUUGAUUAAAUAACCAACAUAUUGCUUAAAAUAAGCCAAUAAAAUAUUAUGCAAACGUCUUUAAUUCUUGGUUCCACUUGAAUGACCAAAGAACAACAAUAUUUUGCGUACUUCUAUUGAUCCAGUAAUUCACUAAUUGUCUUCGAUUAAUGUUUUACAUUAGUCCAUGGAUCUUGAUUAUUAUGUUUGCUCGGCUUUGCAAUUAAUUUGGCUUAUUUGUUUUAGUUCAAUUUUACUAUUCAGUGUAGCUCAAUGAUUACAUUGUGUUGGUUUUGAAGGAUUUGAAUUUCUAUUAGUGAUGAUUAUGUAGUCAUUAAUUUCAGUUUCAAACCAGGUUUUAUAUUUGGUUUGUGGCCUUUACAUCAUUUAUUCUUUUUUGGUUUUGUUGGUUUUGGUCUUUUGAUUUCAUGGAGAAACAAUUCCAGUAUUUUGUUAUUUACUAAUUUAAUUUGUUAUGAAUAUUAAUGUUUAUGGCAUGGACAAGAAUGGCAGAAUCCUAGAAUCAUUAAAGGCCAUCUAUAAAUUAGAUCGACCUCUACAUAUGCUGAUUAUUUUUGUUAUUUGAAUUUGAAUUAAAAUCCGGAUAUUUAUUCUCUCUCUUUCAAAGUUUUGGCCUCAAAUUAUAAUCUUUGAUUAUUUACUGUCAACAAAGGACUUACCAAUGACUUACUGCUUACUAUUCAAAGGGAGACUUACCAAUGACUUACUGCUUACUAUUCAAAGGGAGACGGAGAGCUAAAAAAGAGAAAGUGUUAUCACUAUUCGAAAUGAUGCAGCAGCUAGCACACUAAGAUCAGAAGGGAAAAUAGCAACUACAAAAUUCAAUUUAGUUUUCAGUUUCUAUUUUCCAUCCUACCUGAUUUGCUGUUUUUGAAGAGUGAUUGAAAUUGUAGAACUUUGAAAUUUGAAAGUGUAAUGUUUUUUAUACAAAGUUGAUUAUCACUUAGAUUUUAGUUAAUAUUCCACUCUAUCUACAUAA